rnacentral:rRNA from 1 species
CCUACGGGUGGCAGCAGUGAGGAAUAUUGCACAAUGGAGGAAACUCUGAUGCAGCAACGCCGCGUGGAGGAUGACGCAUUUCGGUGUGUAAACUCCUUUUAAGAGGGAAGAUUAUGACGGUACCUCUUGAAUAAGCACCGGCUAACUCCGUGCCAGCAGCCGCGGUAAUACGGGGGGUGCAAGCGUUACUCGGAAUCACUGGGCGUAAAGGGUGCGUAGGCUGACUUUUAAGUCAGGCGUGAAAUCCAAUGGCUCAACCAUUGAACUGCGCUUGAAACUGGGAGUCUAGAGUUCAGAAGGGGCAGAUGGAAUUAGUGGUGUAGGGGUAAAAUCCGUAGAUAUCACUAGGAAUAUCAAAAGCGAAGGCGAUCUGCUGGGAUGAUACUGACGCUGAGGCACGAAAGCGUGGGGAGCAAACAGGAUUAGAUACCCCAGUAGUC